AGUCAUCAACCCUGCCUGCUUUUUGUGGGUGUGGGUUGGAUCCUGGGGAUUGCUGCCGUCAAAGGCUGCUUCCCCCAAAUGCAUCGGUUGGACCUGUGGGUCGAACUCGACUGGGCGUUGUACCAUCCUCGCUCUCCCCGAGAUGUUCCCCUUCCGUGUCCUCCCUAGACUUGACCCCUGUGGAGUGGGCGGUCAAACUUAAUACUUUGAAAU
rnacentral:misc_RNA from 1 species